CUUUCUCUGUUCUUUCUCACAUUCAGAAGAAUAUUUUCUUGCCUUCUCUUCUCCUCGCCGGCGGUACCAUCUUGUCUUCUCUUCUCCUCACCGACAGUACCAUCUUGCCAUCUUUUCUCCUCGCUGCCUUCUCUUCUCCUCGCCGGCGGUACCAUCAAAAUUUUCUUUAAUCGGCGACACAAUGAGCUACUUCAUUCAUGUGAAACAAUCAUGAAUCAGAGAAGAGAAGACGAUAAAGAUGGGUUUUUAUAAUUCUACUCCUAUCGAUUUAUAGUUUGUAGUGUUGUCUCGUUGGUGGUGGCGGAUAUCGCAAUGUAGCAGCAGCAAUGAUGUGGUCAUAUUACAUGAUUCAAUGAUGCUGAAGUUUGACGAAUCUCCGAGCAUUGGAUAUGAGCAGCAAUAAUCUAAAAGGCGACUUACCAGAGUGCUUCUCCAAUUUUACAUCUCUGAAACUUUUACAUCUCUCUUCCAAUCAACAUUCUGGAGAUGUAUCUGCUCUCAAGUCCCUGACAUCCCUGAAAUUGUUGAGACUUUCAAACGAUUAUUUUCGAAUCCCAAGCUCACUGGGGCCCUUCUUCAACCUUUCAGAACUCGAGCAUUUUCAAGCGGACAAAAAUACCAUAUAUGUUGAAAUCGAGAUGCAAUCUUAGGUCCAAAGGUUUCAGCUGAAAUAGAUCAAUUUAUCUUGUUGUGGAGAUGCGGGACAAAUUCCUCAAUUUCUCUACCACCAACACGACUUGCAGUAUGUUGAUCUCUAAUGUCAACUUAACAGGGGAAUUCGCAAAUUGGUUGUUGCAAAACAACACAAAUUUACAAAGUUUAAAUCUUGCAACAACUCUCUCUGGGGACCUAUUAUCUUUCCUUCCACUUAUUGGUUUAUCACACUUGGAUAUCUCAAAAAAUUUCUUACAU